rnacentral:pre_miRNA from 1 species
UGAUGAUGACGAUGAUGAUGAUGGUGAUGAUGACGAUGAUGAUGAUGGUGAUGAUGGCGGAGAGAAAGAAGAAGUUAGUGGUUUCAUGAAUCCAGCUGAUCAAAAUGACGUUGCGAAUUUUGCACAGCUUAAUAAUGAUCAUCAUCUUCGUCAUCAUCACCGUCAUAAUCUUCAUCA